GUCGAGCGGUAGCACAGAGAGCUUGCUCUCGGGUGACGAGCGGCGGACGGGUGAGUAAUGUCUGGGAAACUGCCUGAUGGAGGGGGAUAACUACUGGAAACGGUAGCUAAUACCGCAUAACGUCGCAAGACCAAAGUGGGGGACCUUCGGGCCUCAUGCCAUCAGAUGUGCCCAGAUGGGAUUAGCUAGUAGGUGGGGUAACGGCUCACCUAGGCGACGAUCCCUAGCUGGUCUGAGAGGAUGACCAGCCACACUGGAACUGAGACACGGUCCAGACUCCUACGGGAGGCAGCAGUGGGGAAUAUUGCACAAUGGGCGCAAGCCUGAUGCAGCCAUGCCGCGUGUAUGAAGAAGGCCUUCGGGUUGUAAAGUACUUUCAGCGGGGAGGAAGGCGAUAAGGUUAAUAACCUUGUCGAUUGACGUUACCCGCAGAAGAAGCACCGGCUAACUCCGUGCCAGCAGCCGCGGUAAUACGGAGGGUGCAAGCGUUAAUCGGAAUUACUGGGCGUAAAGCGCACGCAGGCGGUCUGUCAAGUCGGAUGUGAAAUCCCCGGGCUCAACCUGGGAACUGCAUUCGAAACUGGCAGGCUAGAGUCUUGUAGAGGGGGGUA
rnacentral:rRNA from 1 species